rnacentral:rRNA from 1 species
GUGGGGAAUUUUGGACAAUGGGCGCAAGCCUGAUCCAGCAAUGCCGCGUGCAGGAAGAAGGCCUUCGGGUUGUAAACUGCUUUUGUACGGAACGAAACGGUCCUGGUUAAUACCUGGGGCUAAUGACGGUACCGUAAGAAUAAGCACCGGCUAACUACGUGCCAGCAGCCGCGGUAAUACGUAGGGUGCAAGCGUUAAUCGGAAUUACUGGGCGUAAAGCGUGCGCAGGCGGUUUUGUAAGACAGGCGUGAAAUCCCCGGGCUCAACCUGGGAAUUGCGCUUGGGACUGCAAGGCUGGAGUGCGGCAGAGGGGGAUGGAAUUCCGCGUGUAGCAGUGAAAUGCGUAGAUAUGCGGAGGAACACCGAUGGCGAAGGCAAUCCCCUGGGCCUGCACUGACGCUCAUGCACGAAAGCGUGGGGAGCAAACAGGAUUAGAUACCCCAGUAGUCC